AAUUGGCUCGGCUUCCAUUGUUUCUUCAUGUGUAAAAACCACUACCAAGCAAGCUAAGUAUAAGAGUUUGCUAUUAUUUCAUUUUGUUGGUACAAUAUGAGUUUGUUAUUUUUAAUAUAAUUUGAUCUAAUCUAGUUUAUAAUUUGAUUAAUUAAUGGAAGACGUAAAAAAUUAAUGAAGGCAUCUGUAUGAAAGAAAAAGGCAGAGAAAGAGAGUGUAAAGUGG
rnacentral:lncRNA from 1 species